rnacentral:rRNA from 1 species
CAAAACUUUCAACAACGGAUCUCUUGGUUCUGGCAUCGAUGAAGAACGCAGCGAAAUGCGAUAAGUAAUGUGAAUUGCAGAAUUCAGUGAAUCAUCGAAUCUUUGAACGCACAUUGCGCCCGCCAGAAUUCUGGCGGGCAUGCCUGUUCGAGCGUCAUU